rnacentral:rRNA from 1 species
GACGUAGGGCGCGAGCGUUGUCCGGAUUUAUUGGGCGUAAAGAGCUCGUAGGCGGCUUGUCGCGUCGACCGUGAAAACUUGGGGCUCAACCCCAAGCCUGCGGUCGAUACGGGCAGGCUAGAAUUCGGUAGGGGAGACUGGAAUUCCUGGUGUAGCGGUGAAAUGCGCAGAUAUCAGGAGGAACACCGGUGGCGAAGGCGGGUCUCUGGGCCGAUAUUGACGCUGAGGAGCGAAAGCGUGGGGAGCGAACAGG